UACGUAGGGUCCGAGCGUUAAUCGGAAUUACUGGGCGUAAAGCGUGCGCAGGCGGUUUUGUAAGCCAGAUGUGAAAGCCCCGGGCUCAACCUGGGAACUGCAUUUGGGACUGCAAGGCUUGAGUACGGCAGAGGGGGGUAGAAUUCCUGGUGUAGCAGUGAAAUGCGUAGAUAUCAGGAGGAAUACCGAUGGCGAAGGCAGCCCCCUGGGUCGAUACUGACGCUCAUGCACGAAAGCGUGGGGAGCAAACAGGAUUAGAAACCCCUGUAGUCC
rnacentral:rRNA from 1 species